ensembl:snoRNA U3 Small nucleolar RNA U3
AAAAUCAUACUUUCAGGGAUCAUUUCAAGUCUUUUUGAGAAAAUCUGGAAUGUUGAAGACUCUAACCACGAUGAAGAGAACUGAUGUUCCCUUCUGAAGCUUGAGCAGGCAGUGAGUGAUGAUGCAUUUCAUCCGCUCCUUGCCAUUGAUGACCGUUCCAUGCUCUCUAGUGGAGCCUGGAGGUAGGGAUCAUGAUCAAAGUGGU